AUCCAUGGCUAGGCAAUACAUUCACAACAUCAAAGCUUCUGUUAAAAAACUAGCAUUAAUUCUUUCACCAUCACAUCUCGGGUCUCAUGAUAACCUUUGCAUGCCACACGGAAGCACGGAAGGCGACACACUUGCUCGGUGCAUUUCUGAAAGCUACAGGGUUUAUUCAGGAUCAGAAUUGCUUGAAUCUUCCACUGAUGGCAGUGAUUCACUUCUAAAGAUGAUUUGGCACCACUCAAAUGCAAUUCUGUGCUGUACUACGACGGUUUGCACUUUACCUUUUUCUUUCAUUAUAGUUAAAUUCAGAAUCAACUAGCAAGAUCGCUUUUUCCUCAUGAUAUACUUUCUACUACUGUCUUCUCUAUUGUUCCAUUUCUGUCAUGAACUAAUGAGCUAAUUUCAUGCAUAGAAAAGGAAUACCCCUUACACAUGUUUGAAAAUUGAAAUCUCAUGUCGGACAAAUGAUCGAAAUAUAUCGGCAUAGGUCAUAACUAUUUAGAAGUAGUGUUCAUACUGACCUGAACUAACCAGUUAUCACCAUAGAUUUUAUAUCUCAUCUUCACUUUGUUUUGGAUGUCUCCGUUAAACAUGGCAAGCGGUGCUUCAAUAUCUUUGACAUACAUAGCUUCCGAAAGGGCAAUCCCAGGAUACGGAGGUGGAAUGAGCUCAGCAAAAGCUGCAUUGGAGAGCGAUACAAAAAAAUGGCUAAUGAAUGAUGCUCUAUCCAACUGAUUGACGGAGAUGGUGUAUUCAAUGUCACGAGUCUUGAACACUUUAUGAAGUCAGUGAAGUUGGCAGAGCAUGGAUUCUCCUAUGCUGUAGUUUCUAUCAUGGGUCCACAAAGUAGUGGUGAUUUGGUCACAUAUUUGUGAAUCUAGGGAAGUGAUAUCACUUUCAAGAUGCAGAACGAAGCGGGUGAAAUGAUGAAUCUUUAUAUCCUUAGAAAAUGUUCUGCUACGAACAGACUAAUCACUGCCAAGGAUCACGCAUCCGUCCAAA